rnacentral:rRNA from 1 species
GAUGAACGCUGGCGGCGUGCCUAAUACAUGCCAGUCGAGCGAACAGAUGAGAAGCUUGCUCCUCUGACGUUAGCGGCGGACGGGUGAGUAACACGUGGAUAACCUACCUAUAAGACUGGGAUAACUUCGGGAAACCGGAGCUAAUACCGGAUAAUAUAUUGAACCGCAUGGUUCAAUAGUGAAAGACGGUUUUGCUGUCACUUAUAGAUGGAUCCGCGCCGCAUUAGCUAGUUGGUAAGGUAACGGCUUACCAAGGCAACGAUGCGUAGCCGACCUGAGAGGGUGAUCGGCCACACUGGAACUGAGACACGGUCCAGACUCCUACGGGAGGCAGCAGUAGGGAAUCUUCCGCAAUGGGCGAAAGCCUGACGGAGCAACGCCGCGUGAGUGAUGAAGGUCUUCGGAUCGUAAAACUCUGUUAUUAGGGAAGAACAAAUGUGUAAGUAACUAUGCACGUCUUGACGGUACCUAAUCAGAAAGCCACGGCUAACUACGUG